rnacentral:rRNA from 1 species
AUUGAACGCUGGCGGCAGGCCUAACACAUGCAAGUCGAACGAGUGGCGGACGGGUGAGUAACGUCUGGGAAACUGCCUGAUGGAGGGGGAUAACUACUGGAAACGGUAGCUAAUUCCGUAUAUCAUUAGAUGUGCCCAGAUGGGAUAAGCUUGUUGGUGAGGUAACGGCUCACAAAGGCGACGAUCCCUAGCUGGUCUGAGAGGAUGACCAGCCACACGGGAACUGAGACACGGUCCAGACUCCUACGUGAGGCAGCAGUGGGGAAUAUUGCGCAAUGGACGCAAGCCUGAUGCAGCAAUGCCGCGUGUAUGAAGAAGGCCUUCGGGUUGUAAAGUACUGUCAGCAGGGGAGCGUUACCCGAAGAGGAAGCCCCGGCUAACUCCGUGCCAGCAGCCGCGGUAAUUC